UGAUGGGGAUAGAUCAUUGC
rnacentral:siRNA from 1 species